GGGUCAGUAGGUUGGUCGUGCCACCGGUACGUACUGGUAACACUGAUUCCUCCUUCCUGAAGAACCGUAAUGCCAUUAAUUUGGUGUUGCGGGGAAACAGGACUGUUACUUUGAAAAAAUUAGAGUGUUUAAAGCAAGCUAACGCUUGAAUACAUUAGCAUGGAAUAAUGAAAUAGGACGAUCGAUCCUAUUUUGUUGGUUUCUAGGAUUGACGUA
rnacentral:rRNA from 1 species